rnacentral:rRNA from 1 species
GACGAACGCUGGCGGCGUGCUUAACACAUGCAAGUCGAACGGAAAGGCCUCUUUCGGGGGGUACUCGAGUGGCGAACGGGUGAGUAACACGUGAGUAACCUGCCCUUGACUUUGGGAUAACUUCAGGAAACUGGGGCUAAUACCGGAUAGGAGCUCCUGCUGCAUGGUGGGGGUUGGAAAGUUUCGGCGGUUGGGGAUGGACUCGCGGCUUAUCAGCUUGUUGGUGGGGUAGUGGCUUACCAAGGCUUUGACGGGUAGCCGGCCUGAGAGGGUGACCGGCCACAUUGGGACUGAGAUACGGCCCAGACUCCUACGGGAGGCAGCAGUGGGGAAUAUUGAACAAUGGGUGGAAGCCUGAUGCAGCAACGCCGUGUGCGGGAUGACGGCCUUCGGGUUGUAAACCGCUUUCGCUCAUGACGAAGCUUUGUGUGACGGUAGUGGGUAAAGAAGCACCGGCUAACUACGUG